GGCCUGGUCGGGCUUAACUGUCCGUAUUGACUCGAUGGAUUCUUACCUUCUGAAUAACCAGCAUGCUAUUAAUUUAGUGCGUUGGGGAAGCAGAUCUAUUACCUUGAAAAAAUUAGAGUGCUUAAAGCGAGCUAGUGCUUGAAUAGAUUAGCAUGGAAUAAUAAAAUAGGACGGCAUGGUUCUAUUUUGUUGGUUUCUAGGAUCACCGUA
rnacentral:rRNA from 1 species